rnacentral:lncRNA from 1 species
GAUCUGUGUUGGAAUAGGAGAGAAGUUGCAAAGAGAAGUUAAGCUUCUCUUGUUUGGUUUUAGAGUGAUGGAAAAGAAAGAGCACAUAAUAUGUGGGAUCCAUGAUAUUUCAACUUCUUCAUGUGCGAAAAAAAUCAAGGAAAGGUGCUCAUUUUUUCUUUCCCCUAUUUGCCAUUAUCAGCUAAUGUUGUUGCAUCAGAAAAAAGCUAAUAAUUCACAUAUAAAAAAAAUAAAUAAGCUAAUGUUAUUUGUUUUGAAAAAGAAAACAUAAUGGUUAAUUUGGUCUCUUCCAUUUAUUUUAGAUUUUAAUUUACUCCUUUAAAUUUAAAAAAAAUUAAAUCAAUCUUUUAUGUUUAUCACAUUUGUAUUAUUUAAUCGUUUUUGUUAGUUUUAUAUUAACUCUGUUAAUUGUAGACCAUGUGUCUGAUGGAGUUUAACUAGUGUGUGACACAUGUAAACUUUAAACAUUUUUUGAUUUAUUAUUAUUUUAAAAAUUCAAAACAAAAAAAAAAAAAUUACAUGUAUCACACACCAGUUGAAUUUACAUCGGUCACGUGACCUACAAUAAACGAAAUUAGUAUAAAACUAACAUAAAUAAUAAAGGUAAAAUUUUUAAAACGUAAGGAAUCAAUUUGAUACCUAAAAUAAAUGUGUAAGUGGCAAACUUAACAAUUAUGCCAAAAUAAAAUAAUGAACAUUUGAGCAGAAAAUACUUAAUUGCAAUUUUGGUCAAUUUAAUUUCUCAAUUGAGUGUAUUUGGUCCUCUAAUAUAAAAUCAACAAUUUUGAUCUCUUACAUUUACUUCUUUUUGGUUUUUGAGUAAUUCUCAUACACUUAUUUUUUACCACAGAUAUUAAGGAUUAAAAUUUUGAAAUAAAAAUCACUUUGAAAAUUGCCUAACAAUUUAAUAAAUUAAAAUAUUUAAUUGUAGUUUUGAUCCUUUAUUUUCAUAAAUUCGUAAAAUUGGUCCAUUUAUUUUAAAAUUCAACCGUUUUAGUUUCUCAUUUGGAUAUUUUAACUUAGAAAUGACGACAUCACAUAUUUUAAAUUACGUGAUAUAAAAUCUCAUGAUGUAAAACCAUCUAAAAGCAUUAACUAUUUAUACGUUAUUAAUUAAAUUAUAAAAAUGAAUAAUUUCAUAAGUUAAAACUAACGUUUUUAGAGUGUUUUAUUGUAAUUUUAUGAAUAUUAAUCAUUCAUCACCCUCAUAUCAUAUCAUAUAUAACAUCAUUUGAAAUUUGUCGCAUUAGCAUAUUUUAUUUACAAAAAUUGAAGGAGACCAAAAUUAUUGAAUUUUAAAAUUAGAUGAUCAAUUUCGCGAUUAGAAUAAAAAACCAUAAUUACAAUUAAUCUAGAUAAAAGAAAAAUCUGAAGUAAAAAAUAUCAAUUAUAAGGAAGGAGGGUUUGAAUUAUAAUUGCCCCUUUUAAAAUAUUCUUGUUUAAAACUGAAAAUUCAACUCAAGAUUGAUCUUGGUUAUAACGAAGAUUGAUCUUGGUUAGUAAAAAACAGCAAUAUCAAUGUUAUCAAUAUAAACUCUGAUUGUAAUGCAUAAAAUAAAUAGAGAUAGAGAUAGAGAGAUCACACAAGGAUAUAUCCUGGUUCACCCAACCCGGGUUACGUCCAGUCCUCACAACCGUGAGAUUUUUCACUAAAUGUUCAAACCAAGACCGUUCUUGGUUUUCAUGGAUCAAUCUUGAUCUUUACACAAUUCCUACCCUUCUACCUAGAAAGGAUUUCUUCAGUUCUACCUUACUGUUUUGGAAAGGCUUUAACAAGUUACAUUUCAAAACAUGAAAGGAUUUUUGCAAUUUACUCAAGAUUUGACAAAACAACCUUGAGUUACAAAGUGAUGGAUUUGAGACUAUUUAGAAUCUUAGUAUUGCUCAACUCUUGUUUGAGAAAUAUAUUCUGUAAAUAGACCUCAGUUGUAAAUGAUUACAACACAAAGAUUAAAACAAAACAGCAAACUAUAAGAAAGAUUUUGAGACACUUGAGUAUGAUCAAAAAGAUUGAUCUUUUUCUUGGUGUUGAUAGUUGUGUUUUGUUCUUCAACUUGCAGCUGCAUUUAUAGACUCCAAGAAGGCAUAGGACAGCUCAUGUGACCGUUGGAAAGGGACCAGCUGUCAUGAAUUCUGCCAAAUACAAGAUUGAUCUGCUGCAUCAAAAGAUCGAUCCAGGAUUGAUCUUCUGGUUUGUGAUGAACUAGCCUUGUACUUCUGUGAUUUGUGUUAGUAUGUCAGCCUUGAGUACAUGCUUUUCUGUUACGUGUGCAGGCUUUAGAAUAGUUCAAAUCAGUAGUGUACUUUGCUACUUGUAGUCUUGUACUUGCAUUUGCUUUAUAAGAAGAAUGAUCUUUGUGAUAUGCCUUUGUUGAAGCAUGCCUUUGAUUCUUCAAAUUCUGGAACAAAUGUGACUUAGAUUGAUCUUUUGUUGAUUCUAUAUGAGAGUAUAAGAUGAAUAUUAUUUCCUGGAUUGAUCUUCGUUUUUCAGAACUGCUUCAAGAUCAAUCUGCGUUUUCCAGAAUUGCUUCAAGAUCAAUCUGCGUUUUCUAGAACUGCUUCAAGAUCAAUCUGCGUUUUCCAGAACUGCUUCAAGAUCAAUCUUCGUUUUCCAGAACUGCUUUCUUUGAUCUGAUUUGUGAUGUUUGAUACCUAUCUUGCUUUAACAUACUCAAAAACACAUGUUAAAUAUCAAAACACUUAGAAUCAUAAUUAGAAUUCUUAAUUAACUUUUUGUUUGUUUUCAUCAAAACAUUAAAUUGAGAUUUUGUCUCAACAAAAUCCUCUUUUGAAAUUGAUUUUCUUCAAGGAAUGAGGGAGCAAUACACUGAUGUGUGUCCCAACCCAAUCUCAACAGAGAUUCAAUAUGGGGUUUGCUAUAUUGGUGACUUGCCUUAGCAAAUUAGAAAUAGGACAAAUAUUAUCAGUUUAGAGUUUUUUAUUUAUUUAUUUAUAAAAUGUUCUUGUUUUAGAAGUUUCAUUAAUUCAAUGUUAGCUGAAAUUUAUUUUGCAAAUACUUCUAAUUAGACUAUAUCAUCAAUUUAUUUUGCAAAUACUUCUAAUUAGACUAUAUCAUCAAUUUAUUUUGAUAGGAUGGUCCUUUUUUUUAUAAAUAUAAUGGAUUUUACAUUUUAUAAAUUUUCGUAAAAUGGGAAUAAUUAUUACUCUAAUAAUUUGUAUACAUUAAGUUCCAUUAAUUUAAUAUCCGUUUUUAUUCUAUUGAUCAAGCUAGCCAUGAUUCAAGAGUUUAUCAAAUCCUAUUAUUGAGGAAAAAAAUCUGUUUCUAUUCUAUUGAUCAAGCUAGCCAUGAUUCAAGAGUUUAUCAAAUCCUAUUAUUGAGGAAAAAAAACCAAAUUUCCCGCGUGAGUAAAUAUAAAAGUUUAAACAUAAUUUAUAAAAAGAAAUAUCCAAAUCACCUUACAAGUCGGUUUGAUAAAGAUGAGAAAAACACAAUAUAAAAAUCUAACAUAUUUGUAUCAUUAUUUAUUAAUAUCAACACAUCAAAUCCAAUAGUAUUGAGCCCGAAGAAUACAUUAAAAAAGACUCAAGUUUAUAAAAAAAGACAUUCUUCAUCUUCACUUUCUUCAUUAAUCUCACAUUGAGUAGAGAUAAGGUCCAAACAUAAUUUAUAAAAACAUAAUUUUUGACCUUACAUUUUAGACCCAGAUAAAAACCUUAACACCUGGUACCAUUUGUAAUGAGAUAAGUCUAGUUAGAAAUUUAUUCUACAAAUUUUAUUACAUGAGAUAAUAAGAACAAUAUUAUUAUUAUAGAACUAAAUUCAUAUAGUAUAUGGCUAUAAAGCUUAAUUCAAUUGGCAAUGUCCGACAUUGUUAAGCUGGAAAUUUUCAUGGUGACAUAAGUUCGAAUCCGAAAUCUCCACUUGUUUAUUAACCCUUCCUAGAGCUCAAACCCCAUGAGUAUAGGUAUAUCUCAUAACUUAGGAGCAAUUCUUGGACAGUCCCACUCUGUCACAACAUGGUCACGAGUUAUGUCCUUAAGUGAAGGGCAACCACAGAGUGCCAUGGUUAUUUCAAGCUCAUCAUGAAGCAUCUCAAGUACUUUUCUUACACCAGCUUCACCAUCAGCUGCCAAUAUUAUGAAAACACCACAGGUCUUCCAAUCUGAUACAUAGAUGAGAUGAAUGAAAAAUAUUUAAAAUUUUAACUAUACGAACGAAAUGAAAUAAUCAUAAUAAUAAACUUACAAAUACACCAGACGCUCCAAGAGCCAAUGCUUUGAAAACAUCUGUUCCUCGGCGAACUCCACCAUCCAUAAAAAUAGGAACUCUUCCUUCUGCAGCUUGCACAACCUAUUCAAAGUAAUCAAAUGAAAUCAUAAAUUAUUCUAUAGACCCAACAAAUGGAAGCAAAAAAAUGCAAUUAUUAAUAGUAAGAAAACAAGGCAAUGAAAAACAUAUCUUGGAAUGAUUCAAAGAAUAGUAGCUUGAAGUUUUAAUACAUGAUACAAAAUUAGCUAGAAUUAAACCAAGAAAGAUAGCACUAGAGACCUCUUCCAAAGCCAUAAUAGUUGCAGGGACAUAGUCUAAUUGGCGAGCACCGUGAUUGGAAACUAUGAUUCCAGAAGCUCCAGCUUGUAUAGCUAACCUAGCUACAUUAUUAGAAUAGGUUUGUGGAAUUAAAUUCAAGAUUGCUAAAAACAAUCCUAACAGAGAUCAAAUGGAUCAGGAAGCAUAGAAUCAGAAUUUAAUAAGCUUACUAUCUUCAGCAGUAAGUACACCCUUCAGUAUGAUUGGCAAUGAGGUUAUUGUUUGAAGCCAUUUUACAUCCUGUUACAAGGUUUGCCAUAAUAUACAUUAUGAUUUCCACAUUCUAAUGUCACGGAUUAGGAAAUCAUAUAUGUGAAAGAUCUAUAUAUCAUUAUAUCACCUUCCAGUUUAGUGAUUGGUCAUAUAGGCCAUUAGCAAUGGAGGCGUGAUUAGAGUCUUUAGUCUGCAAAAAUAACAACAUUAAGAUGACAAUAACAGAAAAAUCUAUCUGGUUUUAAUUUUCAAACUGAUCACACACCCUUUUAAGAACCAUGCCUUCAAAAUUCUUCAAUGUCACAUACGAUGGAAAUGUAAACCUGUACAAAACUCCAUCACACAAACUACGAAAAUACAAUUUUAAAAUUGAAAGACUUAUCAAUUCAACUGAAAUUUCCCAAUGACCUGUUUUUUAUGUCAGCCUCCCUGCGACCAAUAACUGGAGCGUCUACUGUAAGGACAAUUGCUUUGAAACCAGCACUUUCAGCUCUUCUCACAAGUUGAGAAGUCAUAUUUCUGUCUUUAUACACCUGAGAGAAGAAAAUUUAGCAACAAGUUAGGAUAUAGUAUAAAUAAUUGAAAAUUUAGAUGAUCAAACUAGUACUUGUCUGACUGCAGCAAUGAGAAUAAUAUUGUUUAUGCUUAUGAUUUAAACUAAGUUGCUUAUGCUUGGAAAUGUUCUUGUGUUCAGAAAGGAAGAGACAAGUGAUACACUUGGUCGAAAUUAAAAUCAU